rnacentral:rRNA from 1 species
UACGUAGGUGGCAAGCGUUAUCCGGAAUUACUGGGCGUAAAGCGUGCGCAGACGGUUGCGUAAGUCAGAUGUGAAAGCCCCGGGCUCAACCUGGGAAUUGCAUUUGAGACUGCGUAGCUAGGGUGCGGAAGAGGGAAGCGGAAUUUCCGGUGUAGCGGUGAAAUGCGUAGAUAUCGGAAGGAACACCAGUGGCGAAAGCGGCUUCCUGGUCCAGCACCGACGUUCAGGCACGAAAGCGUGGGGAGCAAACAGG